AGACCCGAAACCCGGUGAUCUAGCCAUGGGCAGGUUGAAGGUUGGGUAACACUAACUGGAGGACCGAACCGACUAAUGUUGAAAAAUUAGCGGAUGACCUGUGGCUGGGGGUGAAAGGCCAAUCAAACCGGGAGAUAGCUGGUUCUCCCCGAAAGCUAUUUAGGUAGCGCCUCGUGAAUUCAUCUCCGGGGGUAGAGCACUGUUUCGGCUAGGGGGCCAUCCCGGCUUACCAACCCGAUGCAAACUGCGAAUACCGGAGAAUGUUAUCACGGGAGACACACGGCGGGUGCUAACGUCCGUCGUGAAGAGGGAAACAACCCAGACCGCCAGCUAAGGUCCCAAAGUCAUGGUUAAGUGGGAAACGAUGUGGGAAGGCCCAGACAGCCAGGAUGUUGGCUUAGAAGCAGCCAUCAUUUAAAGAAAGCGUAAUAGCUCACUGGUCGAGUCGGCCUGCGCGGAAGAUGUAACGGGGCUAAACCAUGCACCGAAGCUGCGGCAGCGACACUCAGGUGUUGUUGGGUAGGGGAGCGUUCUGUAAGCCUGCGAAGGUGGCCUGUGAGGGUUGCUGGAGGUAUCAGAAGUGCGAAUGCUGACAUA
rnacentral:rRNA from 1 species